rnacentral:rRNA from 1 species
AGUCAAUAGAUACCCGGGUAGUCCACGCCGUAAACGAUGAGUACUAGGUGUAGGAGGUAUCGACUCCUUCUGUGCCGCAGUUAAACACAAUAAGUACUCCGCCUGGGAAGUACGGUCGCAAGAUUAAAACUCAAAGGAAUUGACGGGGGCCCGCACAAGCAGCGGAGCAUGUGGUUUAAUUCGAAGCAACGCGAAGAACCUUACCUAGACUUGACAUCUCCUGAAUAGCGUAGAGAUACGUGAAGCCCUUCGGGGCAGGAAGACAGGUGGUGCAUGGUUGUCGUCAGCUCGUGUCGUGAGAUGUUGGGUUAAGUCCCGCAACGAGCGCAACCCUUAUCAUUAGUUGCUACCAUUAAGUUGAGCACUCUAGUGAGACUGCCCGGGUUAACCGGGAGGAAGGCGGGGAUGACGUCAAAUCAUCAUGCCCCUUAUGUCUAGGGCUACACACGUGCUACAAUGGUGAGAACAACGAGAUGCAAUACCGCAGGUGAGCUAAACUUGAAAACUCAUCCCAGUUCGGAUUGUAGGCUGAAA